rnacentral:rRNA from 1 species
AUGUUUUGGAAAUUACCUUACUGGGAGAUUCUACGUGUACGUCACUGCAUCGAUGCCAUGCAUGUAGAGAAGAACGUAUGUGAAAGCAUCCUUGGUACUCUGCUCAAGAUUAAAGGUAAACAAAGGAUGGUGACGGUGCACUGCUCGAUAUGCUUGCUGAUCAAUCAAAACGCAAGAGUGAAGCAGAAGAUGAUGACAAAUUCAUCAAAGCUCGCCAGAGUUACAAUUUCAGUACAAAAGAAGCAACACAGUUCUUCACCUAUUUGUUGUCAGUUAAGACACCCUCUUCCUACUCCGCAAACAUUAGAAGUCUUGUAG